rnacentral:rRNA from 1 species
CCGGUUUGAACUCAGAUCAUGUAAGGAUUUAAAGGUCGAACAGACCUUCCUUUAUAACUGCUGCAUUAUAAGGAUACCUUAAUUCAACAUCGAGGUCGCAAACCUUCUUGUCGAUGAGGACUCUCAAAGAAGAUUACGCUGUUAUCCCUAAAGUAACUUAAUCUUUUAAUCUUUAAUAAAGGAUCAAUUAUUUUUCAAUUAUACUUGUUAAUAAGUAUUUAAGAACAGUUACUAAUUAUAUUCCCGUCGCCCCAACGCAACAAACAUUAACUAAAAUCAAGUUAUACUAACAGUUUAUAAUUUAACUAAUUUAUUGUCAAGUUUUAUAGGGUCUUAUCGUCCCCUUAAAGUAUUUAAGCCUUUUCACUUA